rnacentral:tRNA from 1 species
GGCCGCGUGGCGCAAUGGAUAACGUGUCUGCCUACGGAGCAGAAGAUUGCAGGUUCGAAUCCUGCCGUGGUCG